GGGGAUAUAGCUCAGUUGGUAGAGUGCUUGACUCACAAGCACAAGGCCAUGGGUUCAAUCCCCAGUAUCACAA
rfam:Ictidomys tridecemlineatus contig039500, whole genome shotgun sequence.